UACAGAGGUCUCAAGCGUUGUUCGGAUUCAUUGGGCGUAAAGGGUGCGUAGGCGGCGGGGCAAGUCAGGUGUGAAAUCCCGGAGCUCAACUCCGGAACUGCACUUGAUACUGCCUUGCUAGAGUACUGGAGAGGAGACUGGAAUUUACGGUGUAGCAGUGAAAUGCGUAGAGAUGUGGAGGAACACCGAUGGCGAAGGCAGCCCCCUGGGCUGAGAUUGACGCUCAGGCACGAAAGCGUGGGGAGCAAACAGG
rnacentral:rRNA from 1 species